rnacentral:rRNA from 1 species
AACGAACGCUGGCGGCAUGCCUAACACAUGCAAGUCGAACGAGACCUUCGGGUCUACUGGCGCAGGGUUGCUUACCGCGUGGGAACCUGCCCUUAGGCUCGGAAUAACUCCCCGAAAGGGGUGUUAAUACCGGAUAAUCUCUUCGGACCAAAGUUUUAUCGCUUUUGGGUGGGCCGCCGUUUGAUUAGCUCGUUGGUAGGGUAAAAGCCUACCAAGGCAAGGAUGCAUAGCUGGUCGAGGAGGAUGACAGGCAACAGUGGGCCUGAGAACGGGUCCAGAUUCCUCCGGGAGGAAGCAGAAGGGAACAUUCGACAAGGAGCAAAGGCUUAAUCAACCAAUCCCGCGUGAGUGAGGAAGGCCUUAGGGUUGUAAAGCUCUUUUAGGCGGGAUGAUACUGACUGUACCCGAAGAAUAAGCACCGGCUAACCACGUG